UACAUAGGGGGCAAGCGUUAUCCGGAAUUAUUGGGCGUAAAGGGUGAGUAGGCGGCUACUUAAGUUUGAGGUAUAAGCACAGUGCUUAACGCUGUGAGGCUUUGAAAACUGGGUAGCUAGAGUUAGAUAGAGGCAAGUGGAAUUCCAUGUGUAGCGGUAAAAUGCGUAAAUAUAUGGAGGAACACCAGUGGCGAAGGCGGCUUGCUGGGUCUAUACUGACGCUGAGGCACGAAAGCGUGGGGAGCAAACA
rnacentral:rRNA from 1 species